rnacentral:misc_RNA from 1 species
GGAAGAUGGACACAUAAUGCUUUCGGACUUUGAUCUUUCAUUAAGAUGUGCAGUUAGUCCAACAUUAGUGAAGGGUUCAUGUUCUGAGUCUGAACCCUUGAGAAAGAAUUCAGCUUAUUGUGUUCAACCGGCUUGUAUCGAACCUUCCUGCAUCCAGCCAUCCUGUGUAGUUCCUACGACAUGCUUCUCUCCCCGACUUUUCUCUAGCAAAUCAAAGAAGG